AGAGAACAACUGCUAAAUAAUUUGUGUGUCGACUUUUCUAACUCUUUUCCUUUGCGGCUAUAACUGUUAUGUGACCUAGUUCCUCUCUCGCCUCCUUUUGUACACUAUUAACUUUUCUACCUUGGUUUCCUUCCCCUUGUCCCUCCUCACUUCUGCUACAUCUUUAGCUGCAUCUUUCACCACAUUUUUUCCCUUUAUUUCACCAUCUUCCACCAACUGUUCUUCAGCAGAUUUCUUAAAAUCCCCAAGUGUAUCCUUAGUCUUUUCAGCAUUCUCCCCCAUUUCUUCAUCCUGAACUUGAGCAAAUACUUUAAGUAGUUCCAAAGGCAUAGAUGCAGGAUCAAGUUCCAAACAGCCCUUGGGAGCAUUAAGACCUUCUUGACC
rnacentral:misc_RNA from 1 species